rnacentral:rRNA from 1 species
UACGGGGGGGGCAAGCGUUGUUCGGAAUUACUGGGCGUAAAGGGUUCGUAGGUGGCCCGCUAAGUCACACGUGAAAUCCCUCAGCUUAACUGGGGAACUGCGUGUGAGACUGGCAGGCUUGAGUGCAGGAGAGGAACGCGGAAUUCCAGGUGUAGCGGUGAAAUGCGUAGAUAUCUGGAGGAACACCGGUGGCGAAGGCGGCGUUCUGGACUGUAUCUGACACUGAGGAACGAAGGCCAGGGGAGCAAACGGG